rnacentral:rRNA from 1 species
GACGAACGCUGGCGGCGUGCUUAACACAUGCAAGUCGAACGGAAAGGCCCUGCUUUUGUGGGGUGCUCGAGUGGCGAACGGGUGAGUAACACGUGAGUAACCUGCCCUUGACUUUGGGAUAACUUCAGGAAACUGGGGCUAAUACCGGAUAGGAGCUCCUGCUGCAUGGUGGGGGUUGGAAAGUUUCGGCGGUUGGGGAUGGACUCGCGGCUUAUCAGCUUGUUGGUGGGGUAGUGGCUUACCAAGGCUUUGACGGGUAGCCGGCCUGAGAGGGUGACCGGCCACAUUGGGACUGAGAUGCGGCCCAGACUCCUACGGGAGGCAGCAGUGGGGAAUAUUGCACAAUGGGCGGAAGCCUGAUGCAGCAACGCCGCGUGCGGGAUGACGGCCUUCGGGUUGUAAGCCGCUUUCGCCUGUGACGAAGCGUGAGUGACGGUAAUGGGUAAAGAAGCACCGGCUAACUACGUG